rnacentral:rRNA from 1 species
CCUACGGGAGGCAGCAGUGGGGAAUAUUGCACAAUGGGCGAAAGCCUGAUGCAGCAACGCCGCGUGAGCGAUGAAGGCCUUCGGGUCGUAAAGCUCUGUCCUCAAGGAAGAACGGUCACUGUGCUAAUCAGCAGUGAAUUGAUGGUACCUGCAAAGGAAGCACCGGCUAACUCCGUGCCAGCAGCCGCGGUAAUACGGAGGGUGCGAGCGUUAAUCGGAAUUACUGGGCGUAAAGCGCUCGUAGGCGGUAUGUCAAGUCAAGGGUGAAAUCCCCGCGCUCAACGUGGGAACUGCCUUUGAAACUGGCAAACUGGAGUGUGUGAGAGGAUAGUGGAAUUCCAGGUGUAGGAGUGAAAUCCGUAGAUAUCUGGAGGAACAUCAGUGGCGAAGGCGACUAUCUGGCACAUAACUGACGCUGAGGAGCGAAAGCGUGGGUAGCAAACAGGAUUAGAUACCCGAGUAGUC